rnacentral:rRNA from 1 species
UACAGAGGGGGCAAGCGUUGUUCGGAAUUACUGGGCGUAAAGGGCGCGUAGGCGGCCUGCUAAGUCGAACGUGAAAUCCCCGGGCUCAACCCGGGAACUGCGUCCGAUACUGGCAGGCUUGAAUUCGGGAGAGGGAUGCGGAAUUCCAGGUGUAGCGGUGGAAUGCGUAGAGAUCGGGAAGAACAUCGGUGGCGAAGGCGGCCUGCUGGGAUGUAGCUGACGCUGAGGCGCGACAGCGUGGGGAGCAAACAGG